UGCAUUACUUCUGAGUAAUGCCAGGUACCCCCAAACUCCACUAGUGUCCUUAAUGGACACAAUACCAUCUGACUUUUCAGCCCCAGUCCAAGAUCUCCCUGCCACAUUCAGUUUGUGCAGUGCUGACCAUCAGAGCAGCAGGCUGGAACUAGGUAGAUAAGCCUUCAUCCUUCCUACAUCUAUUAAUUAUCCCAGUUUCAAUUACUGCCACAUUACUGCAGGUGCUGCUACACCUGCCCAUCUUUAAUAUUGCUUUACUGAGCAAAAUAUUUAAGGCAAGUCGGGCUCAGGGAGCCCCUUUAUUCGAGGCUUCCUUUACACUAUAUGAACUGAAAAUUGUCUCUCAGGAGAGGAAGGUUAGUAUUUGGUUUAUAAAAAGCUUCCUUCCCGAGCUGAUUUGCCUGGUUAAAAUCUCAACUGUUCUCUUUUGUAUAUUGCUAUCAUACAGUGCCAAUUGCCAGGAUGCAACCAGAAAAGCUGCUGUUCAUUUGGCAUUUGGAUUACAAAGUGGACUGAUCAUCUAGUCAUUAAUUUAUUGAAGUAAAAACAAUGUAUUUAUACUAGGUAUCGGAGGCAUUUCUCUGAUGCAUUUCUCUGAUCAUAUAUCUGAUGACCAGUGUCUCAUUUUACUGAGGUGGUGGAUCUGUGGAUAGAACACUGACUCUUGAUUAUUUCAGUAUUUGCAGAGGAGUGCAAGUGGACUCAAGCUUAGUAUUUGUGGCUGUACUAGCACUGGAAAACCAGUGUUUGUUUGGGCUUUGUUGUGAUUCACUUCUAGGAAAACUAGCUAUGCUUUAUUUGGAGUACUAGUCCCUUAUUAUAAAAGGAUUCAAUGAGAGAACAUAUGCUCAGGUGCUUUUUGCUAGUAAUUGGAACUAACUGAAGAACCACCAGCCUGUAGUGUCCAGGGUCAGUGACCACUGAGUAUUGAGUAGGAAACUGCUGAAACAAAUGAUUCAGCCGUCACAACUUCAGAGUAUCUCCACUGAAAAAUAAUACUCCUCCUCUGAGAAGGAUAUAAAAAAGAUCCACCAAGGUCCACGUCCAGCUGUAAGAAGCUAUGAGAAGAAUCUUCAGAAAGCUCUAAGACUGGCUCUUCAGAAUACCAUGUUCCCUAGAAAAACCUUGUUGCUUUGCAGUGUUAGUGACCUCUUCCCUUUGAGGAUCUCUAGGUGGAGAUGGGGCAUGAUGAUCCUCCAAGGGAAAAGCUCAUUAUUACUCAGCAACAAUGCUAGGUCCGCAGGUUUUAACUUAAGUUCCUGGGCCCAGAUAGGAAGAUGAAGACUCACAGAUCCACAUCAAGAUGGCUCCAUCUGCUGCUGAAUCAUUAUCCUUCCCAAAGGAAGUGCAGAAAGCGGAAUCUUCAGCAGGAUCAAGAACUGAACAUGACAGGACACGGGCUUGCCCACCUGAACAUCAACAUGUCUGGCAGACCACCAUUUUAAAAUAACAGAAUGAAGUCCCUCACUGUAUGUUGUUUCUUGCAAUUUUCGUCCUGCAGUUGUCAGUCCCGUUGCUUUUCCUCUUCUCUGCGUAUCUGUUUCUUGCUUGAGUGGUCUUUUACUGUUUAAAGUAUUUCUUACCUAUUUCCAUGUUUCCCUUGCUAAUUUCUUCCAUGCAUGCCUUUAUGAACCUACAUGUGCCUUUCUCUGACCUGUGCACUGUCUGCUUUUGCUCUAAGUAUGAUGUACUUCUUUGUCUUCGAUGUAUGUUACUUUUGUCAUUUGUUGCUACUCCUCUUAGCUCUUCUCUUCUGGCUUCUCCUUCAUGACUCCUCUCUGGGUCACCUGCCAUGUGCUUUC